GCCCUUGUUAUAAAAGUGAUUUGAAGAAAAAAACAGUUCUCCACGAGUACAAAAUUCUCAGGUUGGCCACCAAUAAUUGUAUAAUUAAUACCGCCGAUGUGUCGGAGAAGAACGUAUAGUUGGAAGGCAUCUCUUUUUCUCAUUCUCUCUGUGGAGCUGUAGAUAAAACCAGCGGCUGAGGUUAAAACUUGAUAUACAUUGUUGAUCCCAUAUCUAAUUGCUUAAACUGCUGGAGUCAUUGGUUGCUAAG
rnacentral:lncRNA from 1 species